UACGUAGGGUGCAAGCGUUGUCCGGAAUUAUUGGGCGUAAAGAGCUCGUAGGCGGUUUGUCGCGUCUGCUGUGAAAACCCGAGGCUCAACCCUGGACCUGCAUUCGAUACGGGCAGACUAGAGUUCGGUAGGGGAGACUGGAAUUCCUGGUGUAGCGGUGAAAUGCGCAGAUAUCAGGAGGAACACCGGUGGCGAAGGCGGGUCUCUGGGCCGAAACUGACGCUGAGGAGCGAAAGCGUGGGGAGCAAACAGG
rnacentral:rRNA from 1 species